rnacentral:rRNA from 1 species
GACGAACGCUGGCGGCGUGCUUAACACAUGCAAGUCGAACGGAAAGGCCCUGCUUUUGUGGGGUGCUCGAGUGGCGAACGGGUGAGUAACACGUGAGUAACCUGCCCUUGACUUUGGGAUAACUUCAGGAAACUGGGGCUAAUACCGGAUAGGAGCUCCUGCUGCAUGGUGGGGGUUGGAAAGUUUCGGCGGUUGGGGAUGGACUCGCGGCUUAUCAGCUUGUUGGUGGGGUAGUGGCUUACCAAGGCUUUGACGGGUAGCCGGCCUGAGAGGGUGACCGGCCCCAUUGGGACUGAGAUACGGCCCAGACUCCUACGGGAGGCAGCAGGGGGGAAUAUUGCACAAUGGGCGGAAGCCUGAUGCAGCAACGCCGCGUGCGGGAUGACGGCCUUCGGGUUGUAAACCGCUUUCGCCUGUGACGAAGCGUGAGUGACGGUAAUGGGUAAAGAAGCACCGGCUAACUACGUG